rnacentral:rRNA from 1 species
GGAUCAUACGUGCCAGCAGCCGUGGUAAUACGUAGGUGGCAAGCGUUGUCCGGAUUUACUUGGGCGUAAAGGGAGCGUAUGUGGAUAUUUAAGUGGGAUGUGAAAUACUCGGGCUUAACCUGGGUGCUGCAUUCCAAACUGGAUAUCUAGAGUGCAGGAGAGGAAAGGAGAAUUCCUAGUGUAGCGGUGAAAUGCGUAGAGAUUAGGAAGAAUACCAGUGGCGAAGGCGCCUUUCUGGACUGUAACUGACACUGAUGCUC